GCACGAAGUGACUAGAGAACACAGCAGGGCACUGGUCAACCGUUUGUUUUCCUGAUUUCACUUUGUGUUUCUACAGAAAAUAGGCUACGUAAUGUGGCCGUCUUGACAGAGGCAAAAAAAUUGGAAACUGUCCUAAAUCCAUGCAUACACUUGGAAAGCAAGUUUCGUUGUGGAACUGCCAAGAAGUCUUGUCUAUUUGUAUAGAAGAGAAGGGUAGCUUCUUUGAGAUAUUACAGACUGCAAUACUGGCAUAAGAUGUAAACAAGGUAUUUGAGAUCCUUCAAGUUGAAGCAGGACCUAUGCGUCAGUGAAGUUAUACCUUCCAGAUUCUAUAGCACCGUGAGAAGUAAGUGCAUAUAGCGCCUAUGAUAUUGAACUGAUGUUGGUUUGAGCUAGGAACCCAAGGACCCAUAGUCAUUGCAGUCUUGUACAUUUCCUGAAUGACAGCAACGUGAGAAUUUUCAUCCCGUUACUUCCUGAAUGUAAAUCUCGUUACUUCCUGAAUGUACUGCACCGUGAGGAGCAACAAGAAACUGGUCAGCGCCCUAAACUGAUGGAAGUUUUAACCAAACCCUUACGGCGACUGAGUUCUGUAACUCUACUGAAUUGACAGCACUGUGUGAAGUAGAACAACAAAAGAACUUGGUCAGCGUCCUUCUGAUAUUGAACUGAAGGAAGUUGAAGCCAGGACACACGUGUCUAUUCAGUUCUGUAGUUUUCCCAAAUCGACAGGAUAGUGUAAAGUUGAGGAGCAAGGAACUUUCAGCUACCUCCUGAAUCUACUGCACCAAAUAUAGCAGCAGCAAGCGAGCAACCGAAAUUAAGUAUGGUCGAGAGUGGAGCAAAGUAUGCUGAGUAGCAUGUAUAAUACACAGGAGCAGCGACUAGAAAAUUAAAUCGCAAUGAGAAUUUUUUUGUGCACAAAGAUGUUAGCUAUCCUAAAUCCAUGGAUACUCUGAAAGCAAGUUCGUUGUGGACCGGCUAAGAAGUCCUUUCUACUUUUAUAGACGAGAAGGGCAGCUGCUUUGAGUACAGCCACUCGAAAUUACGGCUCAA